ensembl:lncRNA
AAAACCUUCAGACACACACAGAAGUACUUGGUUCUGCUGCUGAUUGGAUCAUCACUUAGAACUGUAUCCAUGGCAGAUGUUUUCCUCUGCUGUUGUCUGAUGGUAUGGGUGUUGUUCUCAGUCCAACAGGUGGAGGUGGAUUCAGGGGAGGAGUCUGUCCUGCUGCCCUGGAAAACCACAUUUCAUAUAGAGGACGUCAGUCAGGUCACAGUGGAGUGGACAGACUAUUAUGACAGGAAGGUCCAUGUGUAUGAGGACGGCUCUGACAGAACUAAUGAACAGGACGAUGAAUACAGAAACAGAACAGAGAUGAAUGAAGACCCACUGAGAACUGGAGACCUCAGUCUGACCCUGAAACACCCCACAGACUGGGACAUCCACACCCACACCUGCACCGUCUACAACAGAGACAAGCAGAUCCUGAGGAGGAAACAAGUGGAUCUGAAGGUCAAAGUCCAACAGGUGGAGGUGGAUUCAGGGGAGGAGUCUGUCCUGCUGCCCUGGAAAACCACAUUUCAUAUAGAGGACGUCAGUCAGGUCACAGUGAAGUGGACGGACUUUUGGGACUUUUGGGACAGGACAGUCCAUGUGUAUGAGGACGGCUCUGACAGAACUAAUGAACAGGACGAUUUUUACAGAAACAGAACAGAGAUGAAAGAAGACCCACUGAGAACUGGAGACCUCAGUCUGACCCUGAAACACCCCAUGUACGAGGACACCCGCAUCUACACCUGCACCGUCUACAACAGAGACAAGCAGAUCCUGAGGAGGAAACAAGUGGAUCUGAAGGUCAUAGUCCAACAGGUGGAGGUGGAUUCAGGGGAGGAGUCUGUCCUGCUGCCCUGGAAAACCACAUUUCAUAUAGAGGACGUCAGUCAGCUCACAGUGGAGUGGACGAACUAUUGUCACAGGAAGGUCCACGUGUAUGAGGACGGCUCUGACAGAACUAAUGAACAGGACGAUUUUUACAGAAACAGAACAGAGAUGAAAGAAGACCCACUGAGAACUGGAGACCUCAGUCUGACCCUGAAACACCCCACAGACUGGGGCACUGACGUUUACACAUGCACCGUCUACAACAGAGACAAGGAGAUCCUGAAGAGGAAACGACUGGACGUGAAGGUCAAAGCCCUUGUGCCACCAGUCUUGAGGAGAUCGGUUCCAGAGCCCCAGUCUAGUCUGUACCUCUCAACCAUCUGCCACAACUCAGCCUCCUUCCCCACCAGGACAGUGGCAUUGUGUGUCCUACAGCCAAUUUAGACAACCAUGGAUUUCUGAGUGUAGUCAUCUAAUCAGCCUUCUCUGCUGUUCUUGGUCAAAUUACUUAAGUUGAGCAAUUAUUCAAUCUUUUCCUUUUAAAGAGGCUGAUUUUCCUUCAUAUAGAAGAUUUGAUGAUAAAAAACGGUCCCAUGUUGUCAUGUUUCCUCCCAGAUCAAGAGGUGGAGCAGGAGGAGAGGAGAAUGUGGGGCCUGCCGCACCAUCUGCACGACCCCUGACCUGCCGCAGGACGCCACAGUAGAGUGGGAACUGUUGCAUCAGCCAUUUGGUUCUGAAAAUAACCAGUGUGUGUUUAGUAAUGAUACUGAGACUUCUGAUCAUUUAUCUUUUUGCUGUAAAUUUUCUGAAACUGUGGUUUGAUCUACAUGGCUGGCUUCGUACAGAAAUUCACCUGGAACCCUUCUCUUGUGAAAACCUCAUAUUCGGACCGAUCCUGGACAAUUAGGAGAAGAACAUUCUGAUGAACAACAUUCUCAUUCUUGCUCAGUUCCAUGUACACAAAUGUAGGUAUUUAAAAACAAAACCCAGAUUUUCAUAUUGAGUUUCUUUAUUUCUUAAAAUCCCUGAAUCUCCUAAAAAAAGAAAAAUGGCUGCAACCUUUUUAACAUUAUUGAAAAAUAUGACUUAACAAAGACUUACCCUUUGUUUAACUUUAUUUCAGUUAUAUAAAGACAUUAAAUUUGGAAUUAUAAUGGAAAACCAAAAAGGAGAAAUUAUGUACAACACUUGAAUUAUUUUUGCUAAACAAUUUAUCCAUAGAUGUAGAUUUAUGAAGAGCCACCCACUGUCCUCAAGUUAUAUAAAUGAAAUAACAAACUUCAAAAAAACAAACAAAAAACAGCAACACUGAAACAUGUAAAAACCAAACAAGCCUUGAUUGUGUAUGAAAAUUUAAAUGUAUUGAUACCUGAAUAGACCUCUGUCUUUUAUUUUAUUUUUUUUAUUUUUUAUUUUUUUUAUAUAUACAACGUUCUUUACAAAUACUGUUCAGUAUAAGGUUGAUAUCGAUGCUCAGUCUGGAAAAUAAAUGCUUUCUGUAAUUCUUCAGAAUGUAUGUCCAGAUUUUGUUCAAUAAAGUUGAAGGAUUAAAAAAAAAAAAAACAAAAAAAAAAAACACCUUUAUUUCAAUUAUGAAAUUGUUUUUUUGUUUGUUUUGUUUUUAUCCCUCCUAUGCCCUUUGCACCUCUUCCUGUUUUGAUUUGUAAAAUAAUUUAUGC